UCUGUAACCCGCCAUGAAACCAAAGAAGAAGAAGACGAACGUGUAGUAGUUGUUGUGUACAGUGUCAAAGAUGAACCACUUCACAAAGUCAUUUGCUGAGAGCUGAUAUCCCCGCGUGCAGUAUGGACAGACGAGAGUUCACAGCCUCCCUUGUGGCAGGCGGCUGUGCGGGAAUGUGUGUAGAUCUCACUCUCUUCCCUCUGGACACCAUAAAGACAAGACUGCAGAGCCAGGAGGGCUUCUACAAGACGGGAGGUUUCCGUGGGAUCUAUGCAGGGGUCCCAUCUGCUGCUAUAGGCUCCUUUCCCAAAUGCUGCUGCGUUCUUUGUCACCUAUGAAAGCACCAAGUUGUUCUUCGCUGGCUACACUGCUUCAAGCUUGGCCCCCAUCACUCACAUGCUGGCUGCUUCACUAGGAGAAAUCAGACAAAUAUGCAGAAGGCUUAGAAUGGGGUUUUUGUUGGAUGUUUUUUGCUCUGGGUUAGAUCCGGGCCACAGACGACCCUUUAUUUUCCCACCAGCUGGCCAAAUAGGAUCUUGUUGUUGUCUAUUGACAUAACUGUUUUUAUACAGAUGAGUCUUGCAGUUUUGUCAAAGGAGAUUUAGGUGUUGGAGCUGUAAGGAGCACCUUCAUUUCCUCUGCUAGUGAAAUUCUGUACGCUCAGAGCAAUGCAUUCCAGAAAGAUCCAACACAUAAGCAAAAAGAUUGCCAUUUAAUCUUUCCUUAGUGCACACUCCACCUUAAAAAAUGUAAUGCAAUCUAAUACAUACACUACUAUUCAAAAGUUUGGAAUCACUUUGGCAUUUUUAUGUUUCUUUUAUGUAUUCAAAGAUGCAUUUAAUUGAUUAAAAAAUUGCAAUAAAGACAUUUGUUGGUUAUGCC